UGGCCGUGCCCCCAAAGCAGGGAUUCUGUC
rnacentral:piRNA from 1 species